CAGGAAGUGUGCUCCCCGAGCGCUUUCCAACUACGAGUGAAGUCGACUGCAAGUAAAAGUGUGUCUUAGCAACCAAAGGCAGGAUCCCUGCAUUCGAAAAGUACUUGGAUGAUGUCGUGUAUUAAAUAUAAAUCUACAGACGGCCAGUAUUAACAAAUAAUCAGCAUAAUGGGCAACUCGUUGACCAGGGCAGCAAAGUGGACCAAGUCAGACAAACUGGAUUCCAUGCCACUCAAUGAUCUGAUUCUGGAAGAAAUCCUGCUCUUUGUGGAUGACUUCAGCUCCCUGCACCCAGAGGAGGCUGAAGUUCUCUUUGAGGAGCCGCUGAAGUGGAAGACCACUUUGACAGCGUCUGACUUUGAAAGCGAUUAUGAACUCAAAGACCCAGAUAAAGUAGAGUCCAAGGAAAAAGAUGAACGCGGACGUCCAACAAUGCAACUCUCUCCUCCAGUUAUUUCUGUCCGUAACUUCAACCAGCUCUCCAAUCUCAUGACUCUCGCAAACGUGAAUAAACUGAGAGAGGUUCACUCGUGCAUUGAAGAAAACAGAAUCCCGAUGGCGACCAUUCUUGGUCCCAACUAUGCAAAUAUGAAGAAGGCUGCAAAGACUGACAAAGGAGAAGGCCAAGAAAAGAGCAAGGAGUCUGAACUCAAGAUCCAGCUGCUCCGGGUCCUACUAAGUCUCGACAAACAGAUUUUCCGCAAGAUCCUCAAAGAAAUAUCAGAAAAGUUCCGGCUCAAUCCCGGCUUUGUGGAAAACGAAGUGGAAUUUUUACAGAGCUUUUGCGGUCCGGGGGAGAAUAGGGUGUUAAAGUUGGUUCAAUACACAUCAGAGUAUGAAUAUUCAAAUGGAUGUCGGGCCCCUCUCUGGAGGCAGAUGGAAGGUGAGAUGUGUUACCUCGUGAUUGAGCCUUACGACACCGAGACGCUCUACAUCACCUGCAGUAGUGCCGGAGUUUUUCUCAACAUGGGUGUCAAGCAGGAGGGAGACGAGGAUGCCUACGAGCGAACCAGUGAUGUGUUCAAGAGCCUGGUUACGUUACUGAAAAGCAAAUCGCAACUCUUCGCUGAGAGCCUGAAUUCACAGGAUAUUCAAGAACCUCCACGUACACCCAAAUUAGUGGAUGCGCAGACACAACUGUCACUAAAACGGAUUGACAAGACCACAGCACCUUCUCAACGUGAAAAGGACAACAUAUCUGACACCGAUGCACAGAAGGGAGCCAGGAGCAAGAGUGUAUCCCGGUUUUCAGAGUCCUCUUACGCCGAACAACUGUCCUCUAUGAAACUCAAGACCCAACGACAAACAGGAGAGGUUUUCAGUGAGACUUCAUCUGAUAGCGAUCAGAGUUACGAGGAAGAGGAGCAGCCAGUGCGCCGUCAACGAAACACAGAUCACCCCUCAGAAUACUGGCAGAUCCAGAAGCUGGUCAAGUACCUUAGAGCAGGCGACCAGACAGCCACUUUGCUGACUCUGUAUGCCUUGAUGGACUAUGACCUGAUGCAAGAGACGUAUCAUCUGGCCAUCCAGGAUUCAGGUGGCCUGAAAGUCCUCACUAAUAUUCUACAUUUGGACGAAGUCAAUCUCCAACUUGGAUCUCUGCGAAUCCUCAGAGAGAUCAGCCAUAAUGCCCAAACCCGCCGGGCCAUCGUCGACAACGGAGGCUUGCGAAGCAUCGUUAAUGUCCUGGAUUCACGAAACAAAGACGUGAAGGCCUUAGCUGCUGAAACGAUUGCUAACCUGACCAGUUUCCGCAGGGCAAGGAGGACUGUAAGAAAAUAUAACGGGAUUAGCAAACUGGUGAAGCUGCUGGACUGUGCCCCCGAUUUAGUGAAUGUGGAUGCAAAGCAGGAAAAGGAUGUCGAAGUAGCCCGCUUUGGGGUUUUAGCACUGUGGAGUUGCAGCAAGAGUCCCAAAAACAAGGAGGCCAUCCAUAAGGCAGGCGGCAUCCCUCUACUGGGACGCCUGCUCAAGUCUCAACAGAUGAACAUGCUCAUACCCGUGGUGGGCAUCCUCCAGAACUGUGCCGACGAGGAAAGUUGUAAGGAUGCAAUUCAAACUGAGGGCAUGAUAAAAUAUUUGGUCCAAAACCUCAGCAACGACAAUGAUGAACUACGAAUACAUUGUGCCAAUGUCAUCUUCAAGUGUGCAGAAAACAAGCAGACCCGCACCUUAGUGAAUGAGCACAAAGGUCUGCAGGCCCUGGUUUCACUUCUGAGCAAAACAGAAAACAAAAAGCUCAUGGCUGCCGCCACCGGAGCCAUCUGGAAAUGUUCCCUCAGCCCGGAGAACCUGGAUGUGUUUCAAGAGCAUAAAGUCCUGGAGAUCUUGAUUGGCUUGCUGACCAAUCAACCUGAAGAAGUGUUGGUUAAUGUGGUGGGAGCCCUGGCGGAAUUCUCCCAAAAACCCGCCAACAAGAUCACCAUCCGCAAGUGCGGAGGCCUCAAACCACUCGUCCACCUACUUGUCGGAAGAAACGAGGCGCUAUUGGUGAAUGUAACCAGGGUGGUGGAGGCCUGUGCCACAGAGCUGGACAACAUGGCGAUCAUUCAGGAGCUGGAUGGAAUCCGCUGGGUAUGGAGUUUGUUGAAAAACCCGAGCCCAGAAGUUCAGUCCAGUGCUGCAUGGGCCUUGUGUCCAUGUAUUGAAAAUGCAAAGGAAGCAGGGGAAAUGGUGAGCUCCCUGAUGGGUGCCAUGGAGCUGGUCAUUGAUUUGCUGAAGUCAUCUGACGAUGAUGUCCUGGCAAGCAUGUGUGCUGUCAUAGCCCAAAUCGCCAAAGACAAGUACAAUUUGGCAGUCCUGAGCGAUUAUGAGGUGGUCUCCUUGCUGGCCAAGCUGACUGACAAACCCAAUGACCUCCUCCGUUGCCACCUGGCUCAAGCCAUCGCCCAGUGCUGCGCGUGGCGCAACAACAAGGCGGCCUUUGGGGAGGCAGGAGUGGUGCCCCACCUGGUGCAUUACUUAAAAUCACAGGACAUGAAAGUCCGCCACAGUUCAGUGAUGGCCCUUCACCAGUUGUCCAAGGAGCCACACAAUUGCAUCAUCAUGCACGGUGAAGGAGUGGUAAAGCCCAAACCUCUCUCUUGUGUACCCGUUGCAGCCUCUGACCCACUUCGCCGGCUCUGACGAUCAGAAGGUUAGCAAAGCCGCCACUGAAUGUCUGCGCAACAUCCAUCUGCUCUUUCCAGACCAGCCCAGGGCCAAAAAAUCAGCACCACGCAUAUCCAUUUCGUGAAGAUGAGAUGGCCGGUCAUGUGACUGUUCAGAAGCAAGCCAAGAUUGCAGCUCACAGCUUCCCUUUUAUCUCAUUAAUUCUCAUCUUUACUUUCAUUUCCCAUGUAAUCAAGAACAUAUACAACUAAUUAUAUUGUUGUAUAAUUUAUUCAUUAUUUGCAAUAGGGAUAUAGAUUUAAUGCCCAGUAACCUUUCCCCACCCUAAUGGGGUCAGCGGCUAAUUUAAGUAGAAAAACAUUCUAAAUCUUGAAAAAGAAAACAAAUCAUUAUACACACAAGCAGUGUUUGUAAAUUGACGACUUAAUGUUGGUAUUCACCACAUUGUCUUAAAAGGAAGCCAGAUUACAUUUCACCACUGUAAGGGGAUCCAGGCCGGCAUAAUUAUAUAAAUAUAUAAUAAAGUGAAAUACAUGGUCAUUCAUAACAAUGCUGAGAGGGAAAUAGGAAGUGUCAUCCCUUUAAACAUUCUAAAAUAGAUAUUGUAAUGAAAAAUACAUAUAACAUUAUUCACUUCAAUGUCUAUACGAAAAAAUAAAUAUGAGCGGAAAGCGCGUCACCCAUGCACAAAGUUGUGGAAGUGUCAUUCGACAUCCAAGUGGUCGCCAUAUUGGCUGCAUCUCCUGUCCCUGACAUCACACCGGACAUUUGCCAUUGAAAACACGCUGUGGCCCUUAAUAUGGGAGACGAACACGCCCCUCUGACACGGAAGCUCUUUUCGAAGAAGAGAACAUCACACAACCACG